AGGCAUUGGCACACAAGGGUCUGUAUGAAUUGGAGCAAAGGCAAGCAGAAUGGGGAGCAAGUGAGAACCCCUAAAAAUGAUGCUAAAAUAAAGGAGCCACAUUCAAACAAGCAGGCCUGCAACGAGGAGGGAUGAUGCCCAGAGCAGGAAUGCUGUGGAUCAGGAGUGGAGGCCACAGAGGAGAAAACAGAGGCUGGGAACGCGUGCCAAGCAGUGUGUGUGCUGUUCUGAGGUAACCUGGAGCCAAGGUGUCCCACAAAGAUCCACCAGCACCAGCAGCAUGAGCUCCAGCCUCACAUGGCCCCUUCCAGCUUGCCCACGCCAGGGCCUCGUGUUCCCACAGCAGAUGCCCGAGCCUUGUGUUUGCUGGCUACACAGAUACUCCGAGGGAGGACUUAGGAACCACCAAAGGCCAUGGUGUUUCCAGGGGCAUUGGAAGGCUUCCCUCAGGCUGGAGAUGGCCAGGCUGGUCCAUCCCUGGGCAGGGAAUCUGGUCCAGCCCAGCUGGGUGAUGUGGGAUGGGGCUGCUGGAGGAGGAAGAGCAUCACACCACUGCGAGCUCACAGCCCCCUCCACUCUGGGCCUUGCUCUAACCAGAGAGAAAUCCUGACAGAAACCUAUUGGAAAAAACCCACAUCCUGGCAGAACAACGUGGCUGCUUUAUGCUGUGGCAACAAACGUGACCAGAUUUUCCCAGAGCAAGGAGUCUGUCAGGGAUUGGGACAAUGACUACAGCCUGGUGUCACACACUGUCCUGCCUGGACAUUCCGACCUUCUGCUGGAAAUGAGGCCACUCCAGUGGAAGAAAGAUAACGUGUCUCUAAACUAUGAGUUGUUGUGUGAUGGGUUUGUGGUUUUUUUUAUUCAAUUCAGCUAUUUAUAAAUGUGAUAGACCUCUGUUUCUCCUGCCUCUUUCAGCACCCCACUGGAGAAUGUGUGAAAAGCUCUAAUUUCCCUUGAGGAAAAGAGUAUCUUGUGAUUUCAGUGAAAAGCUGUGUUCACACUAUGGUCAAUAAAUUCCUAUAGACAAUUUUGCCCCUUUGGAAU
rnacentral:lncRNA from 1 species